CUGCUUUGAAGCAUAGCCGUACAGAUUUCCUAGGUUUGACAUCCUUACUCGUCACUAUUAAAACCCUAGGCUUCGGAAAUUCUGCAACCCGAGCCAAAAUUCUCGAGCCAAAAGGCGGAUUCUUGCUCAACACCAUAUCUAUCCGAGACGCCUCCGUCGCCUCGAGAGCCUCAAUACUAUUGAUACCAGCAUUAGCAAGUUUCCUGACAGCCACGAUGCCGAUUUGCUCGAUCUGUUUCAUUUGCAAUGCGGAGUUGUCCCAGACCCUGGCGCCAAUACCCCGAGCAAGCUCAAGGGCAUGUCUCGUGCUCACCGAGUCUUGAAGGGAUAGUUGGCAAUCAGUUAUGCAUCGAAUAAGCCGGUUUGCGUGGGAGAAUACCAAUCCCUUGUCUUGCUGAAACGAUAACUUGUGCUUUUGAUACUGGUCGCCAGUGGGGAUUUCGACGCCGCCCAGCUCGGACUGAAUAAGUAGAGAUACUUUAUGCGCGGGGAGGGCAAUGUCAAUUUUAAUAGGGAACUUGAUGCCGUUUCCCUUAUUUAGCUCCUUGUAUAACGACUUUUCUCCAGCUUUUAAUCGAAUCUCGCUAAACUCAUUGGCCUGCGC
rnacentral:sRNA from 1 species